rnacentral:rRNA from 1 species
UGCAAGUCGAACGGUGAAGCAGAGCUUGCUCUGUGGAUCAGUGGCGAACGGGUGAGUAACACGUGAGCAACCUGCCCCUGACUCUGGGAUAAGCGCUGGAAACGGCGUCUAAUACUGGAUACGAGCAACGGCCAAAUGGCCAGUUGUUGGAAAGAUUUUUUGGUUGGGGAUGGGCUCGCGGCCUAUCAGCUUGUUGGUGAGGUAAUGGCUCACCAAGGCGUCGACGGGUAGCCGGCCUGAGAGGGUGACCGGCCACACUGGGACUGAGACACGGCCCAGACUCCUACGGGAGGCAGCAGUGGGGAAUAUUGCACAAUGGGCGGAAGCCUGAUGCAGCAACGCCGCGUGAGGGAUGACGGCCUUCGGGUUGUAAACCUCUUUUAGCAGGGAAGAAGCGAAAGUGACGGUACCUGCAGAAAAAGCGCCGGCUAACUACGUGCCAGCAGCCGCGGUAAUACGUAGGGCGCAAGCGUUAUCCGGAAUUAUUGGGCGUAAAGAGCUCGUAGGCGGUUUGUCGCGUCUGCUGUGAAAUCUGGGGGCUCAACCCCCAGCCUGCAGUGGGUACGGGCAGACUAGAGUGCGGUAGGGGAGAUUGGAAUUCCUGGUGUAGCGGUGGAAUGCGCAGAUAUCAGGAGGAACACCGAUGGCGAAGGCAGAUCUCUGGGCCGUAACUGACGCUGAGGAGCGAAAGGGUGGGGAGCAAACAGGCUUAGAUACCCUGGUAGUCCACCCCGUAAACGUUGGGAACUAGUUGUGGGGUCCAUUCCACGGAUUCCGUGACGCAGCUAACGCAUUAAGUUCCCCGCCUGGGGAGUACGGCCGCAAGGCUAAAACUCAAAGGAAUUGACGGGGACCCGCACAAGCGGCGGAGCAUGCGGAUUAAUUCGAUGCAACGCGAAGAACCUUACCAAGGCUUGACAUAUACGAGAACGGGCCAGAAAUGGUCAACUCUUUGGACACUCGUAAACAGGUGGUGCAUGGUUGUCGUCAGCUCCUGGCCUGGAGAUGUUGGGUUAAGUCCCGCAACGAGCGCAACCCUCGUUCUAUGUUGCCAGCACGUAAUGGUGGGAACUCAUGGGAUACUGCCGGGGUCAAUCCGGAGGAAGGUGGGGAUGACGUCAA